rnacentral:rRNA from 1 species
UACGGGGGAUGCGAGCGUUAUCCGGAUUUAUUGGGUUUAAAGGGUGCGUAGGCGGCGCUUCAGGUCAGCGGUGAAAUACCGGGGCUCAACCCCGGGGCUGCCGUUGAAACCGGAGCGCUAGAAUUCCGAUGCCGUCGGAGGAAUGUGUGGUGUAGCGGUGAAAUGCAUAGAUAUCACACAGAACACCGAUUGCGAAGGCAUCUGACGAAUCGGAGAUUGACGCUGAUGCACGAAAGCGUGGGUAUCGA